rnacentral:lncRNA from 1 species
GACCAGCCUCCCCUGUUCCCAGCUGUGUGUCCAUGAAGAGUGACUGGUAUAUGGGUCAUCCUAUAGUGUUUAGAGAGGGAGACUUUUCUACUGAACAAAGACCAAUCAAGCCGGAGAGAACAGCCUCCCCUGUACCCAGCUGUGUGUCCAUGAAGAGUGAUCGGUCUAUGGGUACACCUAUAGAGUUUAGAGAGGGAGACUUUUCUACUGAACAAAGACCAAUCAAGCCGGAGAGAACAGCCUCCCCUGUACCCAGCUGUGUGUCCAUGAAGAGUGAUCGGUCUAUGGGUACACCUAUAGAGUUUAGAGAGGGAGACUUUUCUACUGAACAAAGAUUCUCUAACCAAACUCUGAGAUCAGUCUCUCCAGUACCCAGUC